rnacentral:tRNA from 1 species
CGGGGAGUGGCGCAGCUUGGAAGCGCACCUGCAUGGGGUGCAGGGGGCCGCUGGUUCAAAUCCAGUCUCCCCGACCA